rnacentral:rRNA from 1 species
AUUGAACGCUGGCGGCAUGCUUUACACAUGCAAGUCGAACGGUAACAGGCCGCAAGGUUCUGCCUAGUGGCGGACGGGGGCGUAAUGCAUCGGAACGCGCCCGGACGUGGGUGUUAACUGCUCGAAAGGGUAGCUAAUAUCGCAUACGACCUCUGGCUGCCAACGGGGGACCGCAAGGCCUCUCGCGAUUGUACCGGCCGAUGUCAGAUUAGGUCGUUGGUGGGGUAAAGGCUCACCAAGCCAACGAUCUGUAGCUGGUCUGAGAGGAUGAGCAGCCACACUGGGACUGAGACACGGCCCAGACUCCUACGGGAGGCAGCAGUGGGGAAUAUUGGACAAUGGGCGCAAGCCUGAUCCAGCAAUGCCGCGUGCAGGAAGAAGGCCUUCGGGUUGUAAAGUGCUUUUGUUCGGAACGAAACGGCUCUGGUUAAUACCCGGCGCUAAUGACGGUACCGAAAGAAUAAGCACCGGCUAACUACGUG